AGCUAGAGGCAAAUAAGGAAGUGGAGUGCUGAUCUUGAGCCUAAGAAUUUCCCCAUGCUGAGAACAAGUUCACAACAGAAGAGCAGAGAAGAGAGACCUAUCUCAAGUACAGGAUAGCUGCUCCAUCUACCCUUCCAUCAGCAGGACAGGGGUGCCCCUGUGUACCACUCUCCCAGCCAACACUUGUGCCAAGGAGGAGCUACAGAACAUCAAUGAAUACUGCUGAAUUAAAUGGAAUAAAGUCCAGUGUUGG